UUAAGUGGGAAACGAUGUGGAAAGGCCCAGACAGCCAGGAGGUUGGCUUAGAAGCAGCCAUCCUUUAAAGAAAGCGUAAUAGCUCACUGGUCGAGUCGGUCUGCGCGGAAGAUGUAACGGGGCUAAACUAUGCACCGAAGCUGCGGAUUCAGAAUUUAUUCUGAGUGGUAGGGGAGCGUUCUGUAAGCGGUUGAAGGUGUACCGGGAGGUAUGCUGGACGUAUCAGAAGUGCGAAUGCUGACAUGAGUAACGAUAAUGCGGGUGAAAAACCCGCACGCCGGAAGACCAAGGGUUCCUAUCCCAUGUUAAUCAGGGUAGGGUAAGUCGACCCCUAAGGCGAGGCCGAAAGGCGUAGUCGAUGGGAAACGGAUUAAUAUUUCCGUACUUGGUAUAAUUGCGAUGGGGGGACGGAGCAGGCUAAGCAAGCAUGGCGAUGGUAGUCCAUGUGAAAGUGUGUAGGCUAGCGACUUAGGUAAAUCCGGGUUGCUGUUAGGCUGAGACACGAGACGAGUCACCAAGGUGAUGAAGUUGCUGAUGCCAUACUUCCAGGAAAAGCCUCUAAGCUUCAGAUUAUACCGAAUCGUACCCCAAACCGACACAGGUGGUCAGGUAGAGAAUACUAAGGCGCUUGAGAGAACUCGGGUGAAGGAACUAGGCAAAAUCGUACCGUAACUUCGGGAGAAGGUACGCUCCGAUUGGUGAUGAGACUUGCUCUCUAAGCUGAUUGGAGCCGCAGUGACCAGGUGGCUGGGACUGUUUAUUAAAAACACAGCACUCUGCAAACACGAAAGUGGACGUAUAGGGUGUGACGCCUGCCCGGUGCUGGAAGAUUAAAUGAUGGGGUGCAAGCUCUUGAUUGAAGUCCCAGUAAACGGCGGCCGUAACAAUAACGGUCCUAAGGUAGCGAAAUUCCUUGUCGGG
rnacentral:rRNA from 1 species